rnacentral:rRNA from 1 species
UACGAAGGGGGCUAGCGUUGCUCGGAAUCACUGGGCGUAAAGGGUGCGUAGGCGGGUCUUUAAGUCAGGGGUGAAAUCCUGGAGCUCAACUCCAGAACUGCCUUUGAUACUGGGAGUCUUGAGUUCGGGAGAGGUGAGUGGAACUGCGAGUGUAGAGGUGAAAUUCGUAGAUAUUCGCAAGAACACCAGUGGCGAAGGCGGCUCACUGGCCCGAUACUGGACGCUGAGGUGCGAAAGCGUGGGGAGCAAACAGG